rnacentral:rRNA from 1 species
AAAGCCUGACGCAGCGACGCCGCGUGAGGGAUGAAGGUUCUCGGAUCGUAAACCUCUGUCAGAAGGGAAGAAACCGCACCGUGCUAAUCAGCGGUGCAUUGACCGUACCUAGAGAAGAAGCCCCGGCUAACUUCGUGCCAGCAGCCGCGGUAAUACGAAGGGGGCUAGCGUUGUUCGGAAUUACUGGGCGUAAAGCGCACGUAGGCGGACAUUUAAGUCAGAGGUGAAAUCCCAGGGCUCAACCCUGGAACUGCCUUUGAUACUGGGUGUCUUGAGUACGAGAGAGGUGAGUGGAAUUCCGAGUGUAGAGGUGAAAUUCGUAGAUAUUCGGAAGAACACCAGUGGCGAAGGCGGCUCACUGGCUCGUAACUGACGCUGAGGUGCGAAAGCGUGGGGAGCAAACA